rnacentral:rRNA from 2 species
AUGGACGAAAGUCUGAUGGAGCAACGCCGCGUGAGUGAAGAAGGGUUUCGGCUCGUAAAACUCUGUUGUUAAAGAAGAACAUAUCUGAGAGUAACUGUUCAGGUAUUGACGGUAUUUAACCAGAAAGCCACGGCUAACUACGUGCCAGCAGCCGCGGUAAUACGUAGGUGGCAAGCGUUGUCCGGAUUUGUUGGGCGUAAAGCGAGCGCAGGCGGUUUUUUAAGUCUGAUGUGAAAGCCUUCGGCUCAACCGAAGAAGUGCAUCGGAAACUGGGGAACUUGAGUGCAGAAGAGGACAGUGGAACUCCAUGUGUAGCGGUGAAAUGCGUAGAUAUAUGGAAGAACACCAGUGGCGAAGGCGGCUGUCUGGUCUGUAACUGACGCUGAGGCUCGAAAGUAUGGGUAGCAAACAGGAUUAGAUACCCUGGUAGUCCAUACCGUAAACGAUGAAUGCUAAGUGUUGGAGGGUUUCCGCCCUUCAGUGCUGCAGCUAACGCAUUAAGCAUUCCGCCUGGGGAGUACCGCCGCAAGCUGAAACUCAAAGGAAUUGACGGGGGCCCGCACAAGC